rnacentral:tRNA from 1 species
GUCUGGGGCUCAAUGGCAGAGCGCUUACCUAGAAUGGUUGAGGCACUGGGUUCAAUCCUCAGCACCACAUA